CUCCGAUCUCAGUUAAGUUUGUCUUUGGGAGAAAUGCUGACAAAACUACAUCUGGUGUGACCUUCCCAUUAUAAGGAAAUGGAGGACUCUGGAGAACUUUGGAAUUAUCUCUGAAAGGUAUCUUCCUAUUUCCCUCCAGACCACACUGAACGACAAUUCUAAAUCAGCCAAUAAUGUAUGUUACAGGACGGAAGCCUUUGUUCAGGAGUCACUUCCAAGAGGAGAACAAGGCACUCACAGCACAAUGAAAAGGAGCUACCAAUAAUUAAAGACCUCAAAACUGUUGUAAAAUGGCUGCAUGGGAAUUAACAGCUGUUCAGGGGCAAAGUUGAAGAGCCUUGUUUCCUACAAUUGAAGAAGAAGACAAGGAAAGGGCCAUCCACAAUCUUUUUGAAGAACCAGAACUUUCCAGAGAGACCUUCACAUUUCAUUUUCUUUUCAGGGAUGACAUGGAGAUUUGGAAUUACAUGAUAAGAUGGGCCUUAGAGUAAAUUGUCUUUUUGAUUAGUUUUAAGUUGUCUUUAUGUUGUAUAACAUUUGAGUGUUUCUGUUAAAAUGUUGCUGUUGUUUACAAGUUGUUUAAAUUAUUAUUUUAAUUCCAUUUUAUCAACAUUAACAUUUCUUAUUAGUUUUAUAAUUGUUCAAUAUACAUUUUUGCUAGGCUUUGAAUGUUUAUUGAUAUGA